rnacentral:rRNA from 1 species
UGGGGAAUUUUGGACAAUGGGCGAAAGCCUGAUCCAGCAAUGCCGCGUGUGUGAAGAAGGCCUUCGGGUUGUAAAGCACUUUUGUCCGGAAAGAAAUCCUUGGCUCUAAUACAGUCGGGGGAUGACGGUACCGGAAGAAUAAGCACCGGCUAACUACGUGCCAGCAGCCGCGGUAAUACGUAGGGUGCAAGCGUUAAUCGGAAUUACUGGGCGUAAAGCGUGCGCAGGCGGUUUGCUAAGACCGAUGUGAAAUCCCCGGGCUCAACCUGGGAACUGCAUUGGUGGCUGGCAGGCUAGAGUAUGGCAGAGGGGGGUAGAAUUCCACGUGUAGCAGUGAAAUGCGUAGAGAUGUGGAGGAAUACCGAUGGCGAAGGCAGCCCCCUGGGCCAAUACUGACGCUCAUGCACGAAAGCGUGGGGAGCAAACAGGAUUAGAUACCCUGGUAGUCCACGCCCUAAACGAUGUCAACUAGUUGUUGGGAUUCAUUUCCUUAGUAACGUAGCUACGCGUGAAGUUGACCGCCUGGGGAGUACGGUCGCAAGAUUAAAACUCAAAUGAAUUGACGGGGUCAU